rnacentral:lncRNA from 1 species
GGGACUUGUAAUGAUUCACAAGGCAAUUUACACACUCAAUAAUACUCCACUUUACAUCAACAUAUUGAAUUAAAAUUCAUUAAAAAGGACAAAUGAAAGAAAAGAAAACGAUAAAGAUUAACAGAAAAGAAAACGAUAAAGAUUAACAAACGAAACAAGUGCUCUCUCCCACACACACACGCACACCCCAGUUGAUUAAGAAUCAGAACCCAUCUGGCUACAUCAAAUCAGAGCUGCCCAUCUAACGGUUGUAAAUAAAAGAUCUCAUAAC